rnacentral:tRNA from 1 species
GCCUGGGUGGCUCAGUCGGUUGAGCGUCUGACUUCAGCUCAGGUCAUGAUCUCGCAGUUUGUGAGUUCGAGCCCCGCAUCGGGCU